rnacentral:rRNA from 1 species
UACGGAGGGAGCUAGCGUUGUUCGGAAUUACUGGGCGUAAAGCGCACGUAGGCGGCUUUGUAAGUUAGAGGUGAUAGCCUGGAGCUCAACUCCAGAAUUGCCUUUAAGACUGCAUCGCUUGAAUCCAGGCAGAGGUGAGUGGAAUUCCGAGUGUAGAGGUGAAAUCCGUAGAUAUUCGGAAGAACACCAGUGGCGAAGGC